GCAGAUGCAGGUCCACACUUCAGUGGUCAGUGCUGCCAGUAACAAAGAAAAACUAUUACUCACCCUCCUCUUUGCCCAGGGAAAGAAAAACUCAAGUAUGUGGACUCCUUUCGAGAGGGAAGAGGGAGCAGCAUGGUUUCAUGGUGUGGUGGAAAGGCACUUUAUCUUUGCUGAGCUCAUGCCUGACCUACCAACGUGAAGUUGAACGGGUUGUGUGGGAUGGCGGCCAGCCGGCGAGCAACAAGCCCCAAAGAAGCCCACAACCUGCUGGAGUGGGAACCCCACACAGCUCUGGCUCUCUCAUCUCCCCCGGAGGUGCCGGUUUGUCGGGCGUCACGUGGAGAGACAUCUGUUCCUCCAACCACCCUCCUUCCUCUCCCGGCCGGCUGAAUGACCGCCUGCCAUCCUCACUGAUGGGAUCUGGCCUCUCUGAGCUGACUGAGCACACAUUUGGAUAGACAUUUUGGAAAUGAAGCAGAUUUACAUGGUGUGAAAUGUUAAGAGGAACCUUAUGCCACACUAGCAUGGAUACUGUGCCAGGGAGAAAUGUGUAUGUCUGUGUGUUUGAGACCACUUGCACAGGACGGCAACCACGGGAUCAUGGAGGAGUGCUGCAGCAAGUAUUUGACAUUUUGGAAACCAAGAUUCAAGGGGGAUCUUUCAACUUUGCCUUAAAGGUCCACAGAAAAAGAGAAACAUGAAUGAGACCCUGGCUGCAGCAAGGCCAAAGGGAGCAGCAGCCACAGCAUCACCUGAAGAACAUUGCAAAAACCUGCCUGGACUUGUGCGUCUUUGGAAGCCCUUGGCAAUACUUAAGGUGCACCUCAAUGCUUCAAGACUGAGAGAAUUUUCCCUAGCUCUAAAGAAACACCCGAGUCUCAGUUUUGAAUAUCCACUCCAAGUCAGUGAUGAAAUGGAGUGUCCUGUUAAGCUGAGAUGACAGCACUGGGCAGUCAGUGCAGCCUACAAAAGUUAAAUUGAAAGCAAAUAAAAGAUUUGCUAACCUGCCUCAAA